CAUAUUAAUAAGAGUAUACGAAGGAUGGCUUGACAGAACAUGCCGACGAAGGACGUAGUAGCCUGCGAAAAGCUUCGGGGAGGUGGCAAACAACCUUUGAUCCGAAGAUAUCCGAAUGGGGCAACCCAAUGCGGUUCAUACCGCAUUACUUUGCAAUCAAUACAUAGUUGCAAGGAGGGCACCUGGUGAAGUGAAACAUCUCAGUAGCCAGAGGAAAAGAAAAAACAAUUUCGUUUAACGUUUUCAUGCGGCCAGUCGGGUUUACCCGACAGCACGUCGUAUGGAAACGCGAAACGAAUAGAUUCCCUUAGUAGUGGCGAGCGAAAAGGGAACAGCUCAAACCUCUCUCGUGAAGUGUUUGUAAGCAUGGAGUCGCAAGACUGUGUGUGAAUGGAUGCGAAAGAUUGAAGUCGUUGCGAGAGAUAGGUGUUGUAAGACGGUAGUGUCGUUUUCUUCAAAAAACGGAUAAUGAAAUCCAUGUAAUAUAUAGGGGAAGUGACUGGAACGUCACACCAUAGAAGGUGAAAGUCCUGUACGCGAAAUAUAUUACGUCAUUAUGAUUACUGUUCUUGAGUACUACGGGACUCGUGAAAUCCUGUAGGAAUCUGCCGGGACUAUCUGGCAAAGCUAAAUACAUGUUCUGAUCGAUAGUGUACAAGUACCGUGAGGGAAAGCUGAAAAGCACCCCGGAAGGGGAAUGAAAUAGUAUCUGAAAUCGUAUACUUACAAGGAGUCAGCGCCCCUCGAAGCCGCAAGGCGGAGAGUGGGUCAUGGCGUUCCUAUUGAAGAAUGAGCCAACGAGUGUGUUGUGCGUCGCUUGGUUAAGUCCUCCGGGACGAAGCCAUAGUGAAAGCGAGCGUUAAUCCGCGAAAUAUUGGUGGCGCGCACAUNNNNNNNNNNNNNNNNNNNNNNNNNNGGUAAUAGCUGGUUCUCUCCGAGAUAGCUUUUGGGCUAGCGUCGGUAAAUAAUGUGUUGGGGGUAGAGCACUGAAUCGAGUUUGCGCCUUCGGGUAGCGACUCUAAUCAAACUCCGAAUACCAACAUGUGUUCCCGGCAGUCAGACGAUGGGGGCUAAGCUCCAUACGUCGAAAGGGAAACAGCCCAGAUCUCAAGCUAAGGCCCCAAAAUCAUCAUUAAGUGUAAAAGGUGGUGGAAAGACUUAAACAACCAGGAGGUUGGCUUAGAAGCAGCCAUCCUUUAAAGAUAGCGUAAUAGCUCACUGGUCAAGUUUUUCUGCGCCGAAAAUGUACCGGGGCUAAAUGAUGUGCCGAAGCUGAGGGUUUAACAUUUUUAAAUGUUAAGCGGUAGGAGAGCAUUCGUAUUGCGCUGAAGCCAAAGGGGUGACCCAUGGUGGAGCGAUGCGAAGGGAGAAUGUUGGCAUGAGUAGCAAAAAGACGGGUGAGAACCCCGUCCGCCGUAAACUUAAGGGUUCCUGGGCAACGCAAAUCGUCCCAGGGUUAGUCGGGUGCUAAGGCGAGGCUGAAAGGCGUAGUCGAUGCAUAGCAGGUUAAUAUUCCUGCACUUUUUAUCACACUGAAGCGGGGACGCUUCGUGAAAUUUCCCGCGUCCUAUGGCUAUGACGUUGGGCGUAUUUAGGCGCGUGGCAGGCAAAUCCACCACGCUUGGUUUAAUCCAGAGCACGAAUAUGAUCGCAAGUUUUCUGGCAACAGGAAACAAGGGGAAAGAACACGGAGCCAAGAAAAGCCGCUAAGGCUAAUGUGAUAGAGACCCGUACCGUAAACCGACACAGGUGAGUGGGUGCGUAAUGCACUAAGGCGUACGAGAGAAACAUUGUUUAGGAACUCGGCAAAACAACGGCCGUAACUUCGGGAUAAGGCCUGGUUGCCCCUGUGAGGGGGCGACCCGCAGCGAAAGACUCCAAGCGACUGUUUACCAAAAACACAGGUCCCUGCAAAACUGCAAAGUGAAGUAUAGGGGCUGAUGCCUGGCCAGUGUCCGAACGUUAAGGAAGGGGGUUAGAUCCUUCGGGGUCAAAGCUUUCGACUGAAGCGCGGAUGAACGCCGGCGAUAACUAUAAUCGUCCUAAGGUGAAAUAAAAGCUGCCUUAGUGAGGUGAAUGACCUCUCAUUAUCGAACUGUGAUGCCUCACAGACGUAGAUAAAGAAAAAUUUGGCUAUAUGCUGGAACACCUCGUUCACUCUAUGGUAAAAUAUAACCAUAGUAUGAUAAAAAAACGAGACAAUCAGCAGGAAAGACUAGAAAUGGCGUGGUGGAUUUGCGGAUUUGUUGACGGAGAGGGUUGCUUCUCAGUCAGUUUGAUUCGAAACAAAACCACAAGCCUUGGAUGGCAGGUGUUUCCUGAGUUUGUUGUGACACAAGGUAUGAAAAGUCGAUCAAGUCUGGAACUCAUUCGUGAGUAUUUCGGAUGCGGUCAGAUUUAUCAGAACACUCGUCAUGAUAAUCACAGAGAACCAUUGCUAAAGUAUUGUGUAAGAUCGCAAGAAGAUCUUCGAGAGAAGAUUAUUCCGUUCUUCCAAAAAUACUCUUUGCAAACUUCAAAGAAAAAUGAUUUUGAACUCUUUGCUCAGCUCCUUCAAAUGAUGAAGGAAGGAACGCACAAGAAUCAUCAAGGUCAGAAAGAAAUUGCAAAGAUUAUCCAAUUGAUGAAUCGAAAAGUUCCAUCAAAAUUUCUGGAAUCCUCAGAGACUAUACGCCAGACUUCGAAACCUUCGAAGAAGAUAGAGUCCGACCUGCAUGGUGACAUGCAGAACGUGGCAGAAAUGACUACGUCGAUCAAUGGAUCGUAACAACAAAGAGCGAAAUUCCUUGACGGGUAAGUUCCGUCCUGCACGAAUGGCAUAACGACUUGGAGACUCUCUCAACAAUGUACUCGGCGAAAUUGCAAUGUGAGUGAAGAUGCUCACUUCCCGUGGUAAGACGAAAAGACCCCGUGAAGCUUUACUACAACUUGGUCUUGAUUUUAUGUUCCGCAUGUUCAGAAUAGGUGGGAGCCUUCGGGCACCAGUGAGAUACCACCCUUGCGUUGUGUAAAGUCUAACCACCUUCCGUGAAACCGGAGGGAGGGACAGGAUCUGGUGGGUAGUUUACCUGGGGCGGGUGCCUCCCAAAAUGUAACGGAGGCGUUUACAAAGGUUGGCUUGGCGCGGAUGGAAAUCGCGCUGGACGUGCAAACGCAGAAGCCAGCUUUACUGCAAGACUUACAAGUCGCGCAGUUGCGAAAGCAGAAGUUAGUGAUCCGACCGUACGAAAUAGGACGGCGGAAGCUCAUCGGAUAAAAGCUACUCCGGGGAUAACAGGCUAGUCACGCCCAAGCGUCCACAGCGACGGCGUGGUUCGGCACCUCGAUGUCGGCUCAUCGCAUCCUGGGGCUGUAGAAGGUCCCAAGGGUUUGGCUGUUCGCCAAUUAAAGCGGUACGCGAGCUGGGUUCAGAACGUCGUGAGACAGUUCGGUCUCCUAUCUACCAUGGGCGUCGAAGAUUGAUGGAAUCCAUCCUUAGUACGAGAGGACCGGGAUGGACGAACCUCUAGUGCACCAGUUGUCCUGCCAAGGGCAUCGCUGGGUAGCUACGUUCGGUUCGGAUAAACGCUGAAAGCAUCUAAGCGUGAAGCCGAUCCAAAGAUAAGUCUUCAUUUGAGACCCCUGCGAGACUAGCAGGUUGAUAGGCUGUAGGUGUAAGCAUCGUAAGAUGUUCAGCCGAGCAGUACUAAUAGGUCGAGCUCUACA
rnacentral:rRNA from 1 species